GGGUUGUGAGGUUAAGCGACUAAGCGUACACGGUGGAUGCCCUGGCAGUCAGAGGCGAUGAAGGACGUGCUAAUCUGCGAUAAGCGUCGGUAAGGUGAUAUGAACCGUUAUAACCGGCGAUUUCCGAAUGGGGAAACCCAGUGUGAUUCGUCACACUAUCAUUAACUGAAUCCAUAGGUUAAUGAGGCGAACCGGGGGAACUGAAACAUCUAAGUACCCCGAGGAAAAGAAAUCAACCGAGAUUCCCCCAGUAGCGGCGAGCGAACGGGGAGCAGCCCAGAGCCUGAAUCAGUGUGUGUGUUAGUGGAAGCGUCUGGAAAGGCGCGCGAUACAGGGUGACAGCCCCGUACACAAAAAUGCACAUGCUGUGAGCUCGAUGAGUAGGGCGGGACACGUGGUAUCCUGUCUGAAUAUGGGGGGACCAUCCUCCAAGGCUAAAUACUCCUGACUGACCGAUAGUGAACCAGUACCGUGAGGGAAAGGCGAAAAGAACCCCGGCGAGGGGAGUGAAAAAGAACCUGAAACCGUGUACGUACAAGCAGUGGGAGCACGCUUAGGCGUGUGACUGCGUACCUUUUGUAUAAUGGGUCAGCGACUUAUAUUCUGUAGCAAGGUUAACCGAAUAGGGGAGCCGAAGGGAAACCGAGUCUUAACUGGGCGUUAAGUUGCAGGGUAUAGACCCGAAACCCGGUGAUCUAGCCAUGGGCAGGUUGAAGGUUGGGUAACACUAACUGGAGGACCGAACCGACUAAUGUUGAAAAAUUAGCGGAUGACUUGUGGCUGGGGGUGAAAGGCCAAUCAAACCGGGAGAUAGCUGGUUCUCCCCGAAAGCUAUUUAGGUAGCGCCUCGUGAAUUCAUCUCCGGGGGUAGAGCACUGUUUCGGCAAGGGGGUCAUCCCGACUUACCAACCCGAUGCAAACUGCGAAUACCGGAGAAUGUUAUC
rnacentral:rRNA from 1 species